GGGCCUGCGGAACGGGCGAGGGGCAGAACGGUGGCGACAGCCUCAGGACAGUUGCGAGCGGGUUCCGGCCCAGCAUCCGGGAGACGGCGGCGAGCGCCCCAGCUGAGUUGGUAUUGGCCCAUAGGGCUGAAUGGAAAGUGGGGAUGACAACCUCAAGCCUUUGAAUUCGAGUGCAGUUUGCAUACCAUACCUGACUCAUCCGGCAGGCCUCGUACACGUUCUGGUCUAGGCAGGAUGGUGCAGCCGUGAUCUGUCAAGCAUAAGGCCUCGGCCAUUCUCCAGCACCAUGAACGCCAUUGUGGCUCUCUGCCACUUCUGCGAGCUCCAUGGCCCCCGCACGCUCUUCUGCACGGAGGUUCUACACGCUCCCCUGCCCCAGGGUGCCGGAAGUGGGGACAGUCCUGGCCAGGUUGAGCAGGCUGAGGAAGAAGAGGGCGGCAUCCAGAUGAGCAGCCGAGUCCGUGCCCACAGCCCAGCCGAGGGCGCCAGCACUGACUCCAGCAGCCCGGGGCCCAAGAAGUCAGACAUGUGCGAGGGCUGCCGCUCGCUUGCUGUAGGGCACCCAGGUUAUAUCAGUCAUGAUAAGGAGACCUCUAUCAAGUACGUCAGCCACCAGCACCCCAACCACCCACAGCUCUUCAGCAUUGUCCGCCAGGCCUGUGUCCGCAGCCUGAGCUGUGAGGUGUGCCCUGGUCGUGAAGGCCCCAUCUUCUUUGGUGAUGAGCAACAUGGCUUUGUGUUCAGCCACACCUUCUUCAUCAAAGACAGCCUGGCCAGAGGCUUCCAGCGCUGGUACAGCAUCAUCG
rnacentral:lncRNA from 1 species